CAAAAACCACAGUUUCUUUUGC
rnacentral:miRNA from 1 species